ACUCCUACGGGAGGCAGCAGUAGGGAAUCUUCCACAAUGGGCGGCAAGCCUGAUGGAGCAACACCGCGUGAGUGAAGAAGGGUUCGGCUCGUAAAGCUCUGUUGUUAAAGAAGAACAGUAUGAGAGUAACUGUUCAUACGUUGACGGUAUUAACCAGAAAGUCACGGCUAACUACGUGCCAGCAGCCGCGGUAAUACGUAGGUGGCAAGCGUUAUCCGGAUUUAUUGGGCGUAAAGAGAGUGCAGGCGGUUUUCUAAGUCUGAUGUGAAAGCCUUCGGCUUAACCGGAGAAGUGCAUCGGAAACCGGAUAACUUGAGUGCAGAAGAGGUAGUGGAACUCCAUGUGUAGCGGUGGAAUGCGUAGAUAUAUGGAAGAACACCAGUGGCGAAGGCGGCU
rnacentral:rRNA from 1 species